rnacentral:rRNA from 1 species
UACGUAGGGUGCAAGCGUUGUUCGGAAUUACUGGGCGUAAAGGGCUCGUAGGCGGCCAACUAAGUCAGACGUGAAAUCCCUCGGCUUAACCGGGGAACUGCGUCUGAUACUGGAUGGCUUGAGGUUGGGAGAGGGAUGCGGAAUUCCAGGUGUAGCGGAUGAAAUGCGUAGAGAUCGGGAGGAACACCAGUGGGCGAAGGCGGCCUACCUGGACCAGCACUGACCACUGAGGCACGAAAG